UCGGGACCCCUGACAAGAAGACAGCCAAAAACUUUGGUGUUUUGGGACCUGUCAGAAAUUAUCAAAUUUCAUCAAUUUUCAGCCACAUCUUUGCAAGGAAAUGUCAAAGAGAAAAAACUACAGCACAUGUCCAAAGAUGGUAGAGGCAUGUCGCCUUUACCAUGACGGAGCAAUAAGGAAUUUGUCUGUGCUUGCUAAACAAUGUGGCGUGGACAGGAAAUCUUUGAGGGAAAGAGUGACGGUCAAGGUCAGAGUUGAGGCUCAUCAGGGACGGGAGACCUUCCUCAGUUCAGAAAUAGAGAGGGACAUUUCGGAGAGUCUUCAGGUCCUCUGUGACUGGGGUUGGGGCCUUACCCGUGCUGAUCUUCUAGAUCUUGUUGAGGAAUACAUUCUACAUAAUAAUCUACAGAGUCCAUUCACUAAUGGAAGGCCAGGACGCAAAUGGUUUAAACGUUUCAUGCGAGAUCAUCCUGAGCUCACCAUUCGCAAAUCCGAACAGUUUGCUGUGGCUAGAUGGGAGGCCUCAGCUAAUGCUGAUGUAUUGAACCACUGGUACGAGCUUCUCAAAAGGGAAAUGGAUCUGGCUGGUGUCACAUCAAAGCCUCAAAACAUUUAUAAUGUCGACGAGACAGGGUUUGUGAC